rnacentral:rRNA from 1 species
GACGAACGCUGGCGGCGUGCUUAACACAUGCAAGUCGAACGCUGAAGCUCAGCUUUUGUUGGGUGGAUGAGUGGCGAACGGGUGAGUAACACGUGAGUAACCUGCCCCCUUCUUUGGGAUAACGCCCGGAAACGGGUGCUAAUACUGGAUAUUCACUGGUCUUCACAUGGGGGUUGGUGGAAAGGGUUUUUCUGGUGGGGGAUGGGCUCGCGGCCUAUCAGCUUGUUGGUGGGGUGAUGGCCUACCAAGGCUUUGACGGGUAGCCGGCCUGAGAGGGUGACCGGUCACAUUGGGACUGAGAUACGGCCCAGACUCCUACGGGAGGCAGCAGUGGGGAAUAUUGCACAAUGGGCGCAAGCCUGAUGCAGCGACGCCGCGUGAGGGAUGGAGGCCUUCGGGUUGUGAACCUCUUUCGCUCAUGGUCAAGCCGCAACAAUGGUUGUGGUGAGGGUAGUGGGUAAAGAAGCGCCGGCUAACUACGUG